rnacentral:rRNA from 1 species
UACGUAGGGUGCAAGCGUUAAUCGGAAUUACUGGGCGUAAAGCGUGCGCAGGCGGUUAUGUAAGACAGAUGUGAAAUGCCCGGGCUUAACCUGGGAACUGCAUUUGUGACUGCAUGGCUAGAGUUUGGCAGAGGGGGUAGAAUUCCACGUGUAGCAGUGAAAUGCUGUAGAUAUGUGGAGGAACACCGAUGGCGAAGGCAGCCCCCUGGGUCAAGACUGACGCUCAUGCACGAAAGCG